GCCGAUAUAGCUCAGUAGGUAGAGCAACUCAUUCGUAAUGAGAAGGUCGCAAGUUCAAUUCCUGCUAUCGGCAUCA
rnacentral:tRNA from 1 species